rnacentral:rRNA from 1 species
UACGGAGGAUGCAAGCGUUAUCCGGAUUUAUUGGGCGUAAAGCGUCCGCAGGUGGUUGUUCAAGUCUGCUGUUAAAGCGCGAGGCUUAACCUUGUACAGGCAGUGGAAACUGAGCGACUAGAGUAUGGUAGGGGUAGCGGGAAUUCCCAGUGUAGCGGUGAAAUGCGCAGAUAUCAGGAAGAACACCCGUGGCUAAGGCGGCUCUCUAGUACGGUACUGACGCUGAGACGCGAAAGCGUGGGGAGCGAAUGGG